GGUCGUAGACUAGCAGAGAUGCUUUGGUGCCUUCGGGACUCUGAGACAGGUGCUGCAUGGCUGUCGUCAGCUCGUGUUGUGAAAUGUUGGGUUAAGUCCCGCAACGAGCGCAACCCUUAUCCUUUGUUGCCAGCGGUCCGGCCGGGAACUCUAAGGAAACUGCCAGUGAUAAACUGGAGGAAGGUGGGGAUGACGUCCAGUCAUCAUGGCCCUUACGAGUAGGGCUACACACGUGCUACAAUGGCGCAUACAAAGAGAAGCGACCUCGCGAGAGCAAGCGGACCUCAUAAAGUGCGUCGUAAUCCGGAUUGGAGUCUGCAACUCCACUCCAUGAAGUCGGAAUCGCUAGUAAUCGUGGAUCAAAAUGCCACGGUGAAUACGUUCCCGGGUCUGGGACACACCGAA
rnacentral:rRNA from 1 species